rnacentral:lncRNA from 1 species
UUGUUAUUUCAAUAUUUCAUUUUAUUUCAUUAUUUCAUAUUUCAUUCUUCGUAUUAUGCUAGUAGUAGCCCCUGUACCUUGACUUGCGUGGGAUUUGUGGAUAUUGUCUGUUGUCUGUUGUUGCUGUGGUCGUUUCUUGCUCUUGCACUGCUUGGAUUGGGUUAUCGGCUUGGGAAUCUGUGUUUGGGGCUGUGGGUGUUGAGUCCAGUGGUGUUUACCCCCUAAUUGAGUAUAGUUUUGUUCCUGGAGUAUUUCUUUGAAUUUGUGUGAGCCUUGUAUUUCUUGCUGCUGCUUUGCUACUACCAUCGUUUAUAUCUUUAUAUUUUCUUAUACUUUCGUGUAGUUGUGGCUGUGGGCGGUAAUGGGUGGAUAGGGUCAGGUCCGAGGGGGUUGGGGAGUGGGGCCGUGGUGGGG